GGUUGUGUAGUGUAGUGGUUAUCACUCCGGAUUUUGAUAACCUCAAUACUUCCGGCAACCCCGGUUCGAGCCCGGGCACGACCU